rnacentral:rRNA from 1 species
GUGUACGGCCAUGAUGCCCUGAACAAGCCCGAUCCCGUCCGAUCUCGGAAGCUAAGCAAAGUCGGGCCUGGUUAGUACUUGGAUAGGAGACCACCUAGGAAGACUGGGUGCUGUAGGCA